UACGUAGGGGGCAAGCGUUGUCCGGAUUUAUUGGGCGUAAAGAGCGUGUAGGCGGCCAGGUAGGUCAGCUGUGAAAACUCGAGGCUCAACCUCGAGACGUCGGUUGAAACCACCUGGCUAGAGUCCGGAAGAGGAGAGUGGAAUUCCUGGUGUAGCGGUGAAAUGCGCAGAUAUCAGGAAGAACACCCGUGGCGAAGGCGGCUCUCUGGGGCGGUACUGACGCUGAGACGCGAAAGCGUGGGGAGCGAACAGG
rnacentral:rRNA from 1 species